rnacentral:rRNA from 1 species
GACGAACCGUGCAAACGUUGUUCGGAAUCACUGGGCUUAAAGGGCGCGUAGGCGGGCCGGCCAGUCUGUGGUGAAAGCCCUCGGCUUAACCGGGGAAGUGCCGUGGAUACUGCCGGCCUCGAGGAGGGUAGGGGCAUCUGGAACAGUAGGUGGAGCGGUGAAAUGCGUUGAUAUCUACUGGAACUCCGGUGGCGAAGGCGAGGUGCUGGACCCUUUCUGACGCUGAGGCGCGAAAGCCAGGGGAGCAAACGGG